rnacentral:rRNA from 1 species
GCGGCAGGCCUAACACAUGCAAGUCGAGCGCGCUUCGGGUGAGCGGCGGACGGGUUAGUAACGCGUGGGAACGUGCCCUUCUCUACGGAAUAGCCUCUGGAAACGGAGAGUAAUACCGUAUACGCCCUUUGGGGGAAAGAUUUAUCGGAGAAGGAUCGGCCCGCGUUAGAUUAGGUAGUUGGUGGGGUAACGGCCUACCAAGCCUACGAUCUAUAGCUGGUUUUAGAGGAUGAUCAGCAACACUGGGACUGAGACACGGCCCAGACUCCUGCGGGAGGCAGCAGUGGGGAAUCUUAGACAAUGGGCGCAAGCCUGAUCUAGCCAUGCCGCGUGAGUGAUGAAGGCCUUAGGGUCGUAAAGCUCUUUCGCCUGUGAUGAUAAUGACAGUAGCAGGUAAAGAAACCCCGGCUAACUCCGUGCCAGCAGCCGCGGUAAUACGGAGGGGGUUAGCGUUGUUCGGAAUUACUGGGCGUAAAGCGCACGUAGGCGGAUUGGAAAGUUGGGGGUGAAAUCCCGGGGCUCAACCCCGGAACUGCCUCCAAAACUAUCAGUCUAGAGUUCGAGAGAGGUGAGUGGAAUUCCAAGUGUAGAGGUGAAAUUCGUAGAUAUUUGGAGGAACACCAGUGGCGAAGGCGGCUCACUGGCUCGAUACUGACGCUGAGGUGCGAAAGUGUGGGGAGCAAACAGGAUUAGAUACCCUGGUAGCCCACACCGUAAACGAUGAAUGCCAGUCGUCGGCAAGUAUACUUGUCGGUGACACACCUAACGGAUUAAGCAUUCCGCCUGGGGAGUACGGUCGCAAGAUUAAAACUCAAAGGAAUUGACGGGGGCCCGCACAAGCGGUGGAGCAUGUGGUUUAAUUCGAAG